rnacentral:rRNA from 1 species
UACGUAGGGUGCAAGCGUUAAUCGGAAUUACUGGGCGUAAAGCGUGCGCAGGCGGUUUUGUAAGUCUGUCGUGAAAGCCCCGGGCUCAACCUGGGAAUCGCGAUGGAGACUGCAAGGCUUGAAUCUGGCAGAGGGGGGUAGAAUUCCACGUGUAGCAGUGAAAUGCGUAGAGAUGUGGAGGAACACCGAUGGCGAAGGCAGCCCCCUGGGUCAAGAUUGACGCUCAUGCACGAAAGCGUGGGGAGCAAACAGG